rnacentral:rRNA from 1 species
GGACUACUGGGGUAUCUAAUCCUGUUUGAUCCCCACGCUUUCGUGCCUCAGCGUCAAUAAAAUCAUAGUAAGCUGCCUUCGCAAUCGGUGUUCUGUGACAUAUCUAUGCAUUUCACCGCUACUUGUCACAUUCCGCCUACCUCUAAUUCAUUCAAGCUCUUCAGUAUCAAGGGCACUGCGAUGGUUGAGCCACCGUCUUUCACCCCUGACUUAAAAAGCCGCCUACGCACCCUUUAAACCCAAUAAAUCCGGAUAACGCUUGGAUCCUCCGUAUUACCGCGGCUGCUGGCAC